rnacentral:rRNA from 1 species
CAGCCGCCGCGGGAAUACGGAGGGUGCAAGCGUUAAUCGGAAUUACUGGGCGUAAAGCGCACGCAGGCGGUCUGACAAGUCAGAUGUGAAAUCCCCGGGCUUAACCUGGGAACUGCAUUUGAAACUGUCAGGCUGGAGUCUUGUAGAGGGGGGUGGAAUUCCAGGUGUAGCGGUGAAAUGCGUAGAGAUCUGGAGGAAUACCGGUGGCGAAGGCGGCCCCCUGGACAAAGACUGACGCUCAGGUGCGAAAGCGUGGGGAGCAAACAGGAUUAGAGACCCCUGUAGUCCCUGUCUCUUAUAC